AUAUCAAUAAGCGGAGGAAAAGAAACCAACAGGGAUUGCCUCAGUAACGGCGAGUGAAGCGGCAACAGCUCAAAUUUGAAAUCUGGCCCCUCGGGGUCCGAGUUGUAAUUUGUAGAGGAUGCUUCGGGUUAAGCCGCGGCCUAAUUUGCUUGGAACAGCGAGUCAUAGAGGGUGAGAAUCCCGUCUAGGGCCGCGCGCCGCGCCCGUGUGAAGCUCCUUCGACGAGUCGAGUUGUUUGGGAAUGCAGCUCUAAAUGGGUGGUAAAUUUCAUCUAAAGCUAAAUAUUGGCCAGAGACCGAUAGCGCACAAGUAGAGUGAUCGAAAGAUGAAAAGCACUUUGAAAAGAGAGUUAAACAGUAUGUGAAAUUGUUGAAAGGGGAGCGCUUGCAACCAGACUUGCGAGCGACGGUUCCCCGGGUCUUCUGACCCGGCUACUCCGUCGUCUCCAGGCCAGCAUCGGUUUGGGUGGUCGGUGAAAGGCCCCGGGAAUGUAUCUACCUCCGGGUCGACUUAUAGCCCGGGGCGCAAUGUGGCCCACCCGGACCGAGGAACGCGCUCCGGCUCGGAUGCUGGCGUAAUGGUUGUAAGCGGCCCGUCUUGAAACACGGACCAAGGAGUCUAACAUCUAUGCGAGUGUUUGGGCGUCAAACCCCUACGCGUAAUGAAAGUGAACGGAGGUAAGAACCCCGUCAAAGGGGCGCAUUAUCGACCGAUCCUGAUGUCUUCGGAUGGAUUUGAGUAAGAGCAUAGCUGUUGGGACCCGAAAGAUGGUGAACUAUGCCUGAAUAGGGUGAAGCCAGAGGAAACUCUGGUGGAGGCUCGCAGCGGUUCUGACGUGCAAAUCGAUCGUCAAAUUUGGGCAUAGGGGCGAAAGACUAAUCGAACCAUCCUUAUGGCAUCUCGUAAAGAAAAGGUUGCCAGGUGGUUAAUUUCCUAACUUUCAGUUAGGCCAGUCUGAUACUUGAUAUUGGGCGACGUCGUCAGUCUUCGGGGAUGUCCUCACGGCUAUCCGAAGCCGUCCUUAUCUCGGGACGGUUCACAGACUAGACAAUGACGGCCGGAUCCUCUUGACCGGGGACGGUCCUUAUAUAGUCGAGUAAAGUUAUUGGAGAUCUUGUGAGUGUCUCUUUGACCAGAGAGUACUCGGUAGACUAAAUCCUGUAGCUUUAAACGCUGGUAGCUGGUUCCUGUCGAAGUUUCCCUCAGGAUAGCAGUAACGUAUUCAGUUUUAUGAGGUAAAGCGAAUGAUUAGAGGCCUUGGGGUUGAAACAACCUUAACCUAUUCUCAAACUUUAAAUAUGUAAGAAGUCCUUGUUACUUAAUUGAACGUGGACAUUUGAAUGUACCGUUACUAGUGGGCCAUUUUUGGUAAGCAGAACUGGCGAUGCGGGAUGAACCGAACGUGAGGUUAAGGUGCCGGAAUGCACGCUCAUCAGACACCACAAAAGGUGUCAAUGCAUCCAGACAGCCGGACGGUGGCCAUGGAAGUCGGAAUCCGCUUAGGAGUGUGUAACAACUCACCGGCCGAAUGCAUUGGCCCUGAAAAUGGAUGGCGCUUAAGCGUGCUACCUAUACCUCGCCGUUAGGGUUGAAAUGAUGCCCUAACGAGUAGGCAGGCGUGGAGGUCCGUGACGAAGCCUUGGGGGUGACCCCGGGUCGAACGGCCUCUAGUG
rnacentral:rRNA from 1 species